GUAGGUCCCGAGCGUUGUCCGGAUUUAUUGGGCGUAAAGCGAGCGCAGGCGGUUUGAUAAGUCUGAAGUUAAAGGCUGUGGCUCAACCAUAGUUCGCUUUGGAAACUGUCAAACUUGAGUGCAGAAGGGGAGAGUGGAAUUCCAUGUGUAGCGGUGAAAUGCGUAGACAUAUGGAGGAACACCGGUGGCGAAAGCGGCUCUCUGGUCUGUAACUGACGCUGAGGCUCGAAAGCGUGGGGAGCGAACAGGAUUAGAUACCCUGGUAGUCCACGCCGUAAACGAUGAGUGCUAGGUGUUGGAUCCUUUCCGGGAUUCAGUGCCGCAGCUAACGCAUUAAGCACUCCGCCUGGGGAGU
rnacentral:rRNA from 1 species